GUAGUUGACCAGCUUUAGGGCGGCCAUCUUGGAGCGGGCGGCCAUCUUGGAGCGGUACACCACUCCACUUAGCUUAUGUGUUUAGCAGGAACAAUGACGUAUCAGCGCAUUUAAUCGAUCAUAACACGCUUUUUUGUUACUGGAAACCAUAUUCAAACAUCUAUCAAAGCUA